rnacentral:rRNA from 1 species
GCGGAGGGAUCAUUACCGAGUUAUUCUACUCCCAAACCCCUGUGAACUUAUACCUUUACUGUUGCUUCGGCGGGUUAACGCCCCGGAAGGCCCGCGAGGGCCGCCGGAACCAGGCGCCCGCCGGGGGACCCAAACUCUUGUAUCUUUUUUAUAGCAUGUCUGAGUGGAAUCAUAAACAAAUGAAUCAAAACUUUCAACAACGGAUCUCUUGGUUCUGGCAUCGAUGAAGAACGCAGCGAAAUGCGAUAAGUAAUGUGAAUUGCAGAAUUCAGUGAAUCAUCGAAUCUUUGAACGCACAUUGCGCCCGCCAGUAUUCUGGCGGGCAUGCCUGUUCGAGCGUCAUUUCAACCCUCAAGCCCCAGUGGCCUGGUGUUGGGGACCGGCGACCUCGCCCGGGGGAACACCCCCGGCGCGUCCGCCGCCCCCGAAAUGAAUUGGCGGCCCCGUCGCGGCCUCCUCUGCGUAGUAGCACAACCUCGCAGCGGGAGCGCGACGCGGCCACUGCCGUAAAACGCCCAACUUUUUUUAGAGUUGACCUCGGAUCAGGUAGGAAUACCCGCUGAACUUAAGCAUAUCGAUAAGCGGAGGAAAAGAAAACAACAGGGAUUGCCCAGUAACCGGCGAGUGAAGCGGCAACAGCUCAAAUUUGAAAUCUGGCCCCCAGGGUCGAGUUGUAAUUUGCAGAGGAUGAUUUUGGCGAGGUGCCCUUCCGAGGUCCCUGGAACGGACCCUCAC